GAUGAACGCUGGCGGCGUGCCUAAUACAUGCAAGUCGAGCGAACAGACGAGGAGCUUGCUCCUCUGACGUUAGCGGCGGACGGGUGAGUAACACGUGGAUAACCUACCUAUAAGACUGGGAUAACUUCGGGAAACCGGAGCUAAUACCGGAUAAUAUAUUGAACCGCAUGGAUCAAUAGUGAAAGACGGUUUUGCUGUCACUUAUAGAUGGAACCGCGCCGCAUUAGCUAGUUGGUAAGGUAACGGCUUACCAAGGCAACGAUGCGUAGCCGACCUGAGAGGGUGAUCGGCCACACUGGAACUGAGACACGGUCCAGACUCCUACGGGAGGCAGCAGUAGGGAAUCUUCCGCAAUGGGCGAAAGCCUGACGGAGCAACGCCGCGUGAGUGAUGAAGGUCUUCGGAUCGUAAAACUCUGUUAUUAGGGAAGAACAAAUGUGUAAGUAACUAUGCACGUCUUGACGGUACCUAAUCAGAAAGCCACGGCUAACUACGUG
rnacentral:rRNA from 1 species